rnacentral:rRNA from 1 species
UGGGGAAUAUUGGACAAUGGGCGAAAGCCUGAUCCAGCCAUGCCGCGUGUGUGAAGAAGGUCUUCGGAUUGUAAAGCACUUUAAGUUGGGAGGAAGGGCAGUAAGCGAAUACCUUGCUGUUUUUACGUUACCGACAGAAUAAGCACCGGCUAACUCUGUGCCAGCAGCCGCGGUAAUACAGAGGGUGCAAGCGUUAAUCGGAAUUACUGGGCGUAAAGCGCGCGUAGGUGGUUCGUUAAGUUGAAUGUGAAAGCCCCGGGCUGAACCUGGGAACUGAAUCCAGAACUGGCGGGCUAGAGUAGGGAAGAGGGUGGUGGAAUUUCCUGUGUAGCGGUGAAAUGCGUAGAUAUAGGAAGGAACACCAGUGGCGAAGGCGACCACCUGGGCUCAUACUAACACUGAGGUGCGAAAGCGUGGGGAGCAAACAGG